rnacentral:rRNA from 1 species
UACGUAGGGCGCAAGCGUUGUCCGGAAUUAUUGGGCGUAAAGAGCUCGUAGGCGGCUUGUCACGUCGGGUGUGAAAGCCCGGGGCUUAACCCCGGGUCUGCAUUCGAUACGGGCUGGCUAGAGUGUGGUAGGGGAGAACGGAAUUCCUGGUGUAGCGGUGAAAUGCGCAGAUAUCAGGAGGAACACCGGUGGCGAAGGCGGUUCUCUGGGCAUUACCUGACGCUGAGGAGCGAAGUGU